GGCUGGGUAGCUCAGUUGGUUAGAGCGCAGGACUCAUAAUCCUGAGGUCGGGAGUUCAAAUCUCCCCCCCGCCACCA
rnacentral:tRNA from 2 species